UACGUAGGGUCCGAGCGUUAAUCGGAAUUACUGGGCGUAAAGCGUGCGCAGGCGGUUUUGUAAGCCAGAUGUGAAAGCCCCGGGCUCAACCUGGGAACUGCAUUUGGGACUGCCAGGCUGGAGUACGGCAGAGGGAGGUGGAAUUCCACGUGUAGCAGUGAAAUGCGUAGAGAUGUGGAGGAACACCGAUGGCGAAGGCAGCCUCCUGGGCUAGUACUGACGCUCAUGCACGAAAGCGUGGGGAGCAAACAGG
rnacentral:rRNA from 1 species